GUCAUUUGGGGAUUUUUUUUCCCAGUUCUGAGAAGAAAUGCUUCUUUUAUUUUACAUAAAUCUCCACUUUUCUACUAGCAAAUACGAAAAGAGGAAGAAGUAAAAGUAGAGACACCAUCUCUCUGUUCUUUACGGCCACCUCUUGUAGGGCUGAGGGGCAGAAACGCCCCGUCACACCCCGGCUGGCUGCCGCAAGGGCCCGAGGGGGGACUGGAGCACCCUGUGCAGAAGGAAGCCCGUGGCUGGUGCUCAGGUGGCCUCGUACUCAGAGAUGGAGGGACCGCGUGCUGGAAUCUACAGUCCCCUCCUCACCGCCUCUGCCCCUGCUGCCCAGCCAGAGGAGACGAAUGCACGUGCAGAAACCCUUCCUGGCCAGCACCCUGCCGCCGGGGUUCCCACGGCCCCAGCCAGCUGCUGAGCGCACAGCACGCCGUCUUCGGUUCCACACCACGUGGACACCGUCACCUCCGCUGGGAUUUAAGCAAGCGAGACUCCAGACGCCACGCCAAGCAAAGAGGAAGUCUGCCUUUUCCAUGCAGGGCCGUGGACGUCCUACUCUCCAAACCCAUCAAGGGCACGGGCCACUCCCGAUAUUUUCGUGCAAACGCAGCCUGUGCAGCCCAUGUCCUGAAAACAAGAGUGCACACUCCCCAAAAGGCACAGGCAACAAGCCGCCUUUCUCAAGGAGAUUCGUCAACAGAAAUGACAUGAAAACAUCAGCUUGGAAUGAUCUGCCCUGGGAAGGGACACAGGCCUCACUUCCCAGGAAGGGGGCAGACAACCAGAGAAGUCAGCUCAGAGAGGACAUCCCUCCUGCCUCGAGAAGCACCAACAGGCAGCACAGAAGGGCCACGGGGAUGUCUCCAUGAGGCCAGCCUCGCACAGGGCUGCCCCGCCGAGAACAAGCAGUAUGUCCCCCACACCCAGUAUCGGGCCCAUUUUGGGUGCGAUUCCGUGUGCCAGAGCAGAGCUCUUCAACAGAAAGCGAGCUUCUGAGAACACAGGGAAGCCGGUGGCCAAGGACUAGAAAGGGGAAGGGAGACCCCACAGAUAUCCGGGGUGCCGGCAUGUCAGGAACCCAGGAUGACACGUACCUGUGUGGAAUAAACGUGGCCACCUGUGCCACCGAGGGUCAAGUCCGGCCCAACCUAAGCCCUAGGUGCCUGCUCCCCUCACAAACGAGCUCGAGGCCCCAUGGCCAGCACGAAGGCAGCUGUGUCCCGCCACAGGGUGGACACUUCCCACUGGACCCUGACAGAGAAGCACAGAAACGGAGGGAGGGCAGGCCCUUGGGAACAGCUAAGGACGUUUGAAGAGGCAAUCGUAUGUCUGUCGAAGCCGACGAAAGACAGGAGCUUGUGUUUUCCGUCUUGCUUCGUUUCAUUUUUAGAGGAACUCAUUUUAUUGCCCUUUUCAAAAGGGGAUAACAAAUAGAAACUAAAAUUUUGAAAACUCUGGUUUUCAUCGCAGGUAGUUGGGGAAGGUACUGAUUGAAGCAGCAGAAAAACUCGGGUAAGAGAAAAGAAAAAUUAACAUGUUAGGUCUGCUCUCUCGGUCUCCCAAAUACAGGAGAGCCUCGCAGGGCACAGUGUUAUUUGUCUGCAGCACCAAGGAUCCAGCUCCACGUUCUUUUGGAUUCUCCGCCUGGAUCUCGGGAAUUGGUUCAGGGUUGGCUACAACGGCCCAGGCAGCAAGGAACGGGAUACAGUGGAAACAAUUCGGUAAAUUGGAAGUUCUCAGUUAACACACGGCUGAAGCGUGAUACCAACUCUUUGGCCACUAGAUGGACAGGUCUAGGUGGCUAAGUAUGAAGUUUGAUUUUACAAAAUGCUUGGUAAGAUCUAAUUGAAAUUUUUAAAAAUUAAAUUUAGAUGUGGCUUUAGUUAAGUUUGAAUCAAAAUUUUGGUAUUAAUUAAAUAUGAUUAAUUUGCAUUUUUCUAUUCUUACAAUAGAAUCCUGAAUAUUUAAAAGAAAUACAUAUUUUAAGACAAAUUUUUUUAAUUUAUUGUUUCUUUAUAUUUAAUUUGUUUUUUGAUGCAAAUUAGACCUUUAAGGGCAAUAGAACAUAAAUAACAGGAAAAUCGUGAUUUUUUAACAACAUAGCUUUUGCAGACUAUGUAAAACUUUAUGAAUUCUGUAUGCCUCCAGUUUCAUAUAAUGUAAAUGUUAACAACCCACCAAGAGGAUACCCAAACAGGCACAAUAAUAAUUGAAUUAAGCUGUCUCUUUUAUUUUUACAAUUUUUAUCAAAUAAACAUAAUUUUAUACAUUU